rnacentral:tRNA from 1 species
GAUUCCAUAGUGUAGCGGUUAUCACGUCUGCUUUACACGCAGAAGGUCCUGGGUUCAAGCCCCAGUGGAAUCA